rnacentral:rRNA from 1 species
CCAGACUCCUACGGGAGGCAGCAGUGAGGAAUAUUGGUCAAUGGGCGCAAGCCUGAACCAGCCAAGUAGCGUGCAGGAUGACGGCCCUAUGGGUUGUAAACUGCUUUUGUAUGGGGAUAAAGUCAAUCACGUGUGAUUGUUUGCAGGUACCAUACGAAUAAGGACCGGCUAAUUCCGUGCCAGCAGCCGCGGUAAUACGGAAGGUCCGGGCGUUAUCCGGAUUUAUUGGGUUUAAAGGGAGCGUAGGCCGGAGAUUAAGUGUGUUGUGAAAUGUAGACGCUCAACGUCUGACUUGCAGCGCAUACUGGUUUCCUUGAGUACGCACAACGUUGGCGGAAUUCGUCGUGUAGCGGUGAAAUGCUUAGAUAUGACGAAGAACUCCGAUUGCGAAGGCAGCUGACGGGAGCGCAACUGACGCUGAAGCUCGAAGGUGCGGGUAUCGAACAGGAUUAGAUACCCUGGUAGUCCGCACAGUAAACGAUGGAUGCCCGCUGUUGGUACCUAGUAUCAGCGGCUAAGCGAAAGCAUUAAGCAUCCCACCUGGGGAGUACGCCGGCAACGGUGAAACUCAAAGGAAUUGACGGGGGCCCGCACAAG